rnacentral:rRNA from 1 species
UACGUAGGUGGCAAGCGUUAUCCGGAAUUAUUGGGCGUAAAGCGCGCGUAGGCGGUUUUUAAGUCUGAUGUGAAAGCCCACGGCUCAACCGUGGAGGGUCAUUGGAAACUGGAAAACUUGAGUGCAGAAGAGGAAAGUGGAAUUCCAUGUGUAGCGGUGAAAUGCGCAGAGAUAUGGAGGAACACCAGUGGCGAAGGCGACUUUCUGGUCAUGUAACUGACGCUGAUGUGCGAAAGCGUGGGGAUCAAACAGGAUUAGAUACC